AAAGCAAUGUAGUCAUCACAGCCAACUUGGUUAUUGAUGUCCCUUCCCGUAAUCUUUUAUUCAAUUGGCAAGAAAAAAAUGAGAAUUGAAUCACCCCCCCC